AAAAAAAAAAAAAAAAAAAAAAAAAAAAAAAAAAAAAAAAAGAACAGUUUGACACAAUGUGAUUUGUGUCCAGUGCUCUGAAUGCCAAACAGAUUCAAGGAAGCCCAGAUAAACUUCAGGAGUAACUAUGACUCUGUAGCUGAACUCCAGUCCUGAGCCCUAUGUUGCGGCACCACCUGUAACCGACCUACCAGGCAGCCUUGUUCUGAGAUCCAGACCUGCUAUUUCAUUCUCCCUGAUGCAGGUGUGAACAAGGAUGACCGACAAAGAGACACAGAGGCAGCUUGACCUGCAGUUAGGGGCUCGUGCCUGCUUAGUAGAUAGAGGAACGUCCUCCCCCACCCUGUGUCUGCCUUAUCUUGCAUUUAUUCACCCAAAUUUGGGUACAAUCAAAAUAACACAAGAUGCACCUGCUUUCUGAUAGUCUUUAAUACAUACUCUGGUAAACAACUUAACCUCAGCUGUUUUCCAUUUUCCCAAGAACCUGCACUAUGCAAUCACUCUGAGUGCAGCCUCUCUCCUUUGAGCUCACAGAGAAGGCCAGUUAGGCCUCAGUUCUCCUCUGGUCUCCAGGAAGACUCUUAGGGUAGCUAAAUGCCUUGUCAUCUACUUGGUGAUGUACAUAAAUGGGUGAAUUAGAAUUCCACUGUCCCUCACUGCUAAACAACAGUCAAGGGCAGGCUUGCCAGUGACUAGGCAAAGA
rnacentral:ncRNA from 1 species